UACGUAGGGGGCAAGCGUUGUCCGGAAUUAUUGGGCGUAAAGAGCGUGUAGGCGGCCAGGUAGGUCUGCUGUGAAACUCGAGGCUUAACCUCGAGAUGUCGGCGGAAACCAUCUGGCUAGAGUCCGGAAGAGGAGAGUGGAAUUCCUGGUGUAGCGGUGAAAUGCGCAGAUAUCAGGAAGAACACCCGUGGCGAAGGCGGCUCUCUGGGACGGUACUGACGCUGAGACGCGAAAAGCGUGGGGGAGCGAACAGG
rnacentral:rRNA from 1 species